rfam:Delftia acidovorans SPH-1, complete genome.
CAGCGUUCUCAGGGCGGGGCGAAAUUCCCCACCGGCGGUAUCUGGAUCUGCCUUUCGGCAUGUGUCCAGCAGCCCGCGAGCGCCCGGCAAGCCGCAAGGCCGGCCGGGGUCAGCAGAUCUGGUGAGAUGCCAGAGCCGACGGUCACAGUCCGGAUGAAAGAGAUCGCGC